AUUGAACGCUGGCGGCAUGCCUUACACAUGCAAGUCGAACGGCGGCACGGGAGCAAUCCUGGUGGCGAGUGGCGAACGGGUGAGUAAUGUAUCGGAACGUGCACAGUCGUGGGGGAUAACGUAGCGAAAGCUACGCUAAUACCGCAUACGAUCGAUGGAUGAAAGCGGGGGACCGUAAGGCCUCGCGCGAUUGGAGCGGCCGAUAUCAGAUUAGGUAGUUGGUGGGGUAAAGGCCUACCAAGCCGACGAUCUGUAGCUGGUCUGAGAGGACGACAAGCCACACUGGGACUGAGACACGGCCCAGACUCCUACGGGAGGCAGCAGUGGGGAAUUUUGGACAAUGGGCGCAAGCCUGAUCCAGCAAUGCCGCGUGCAGGAUGAAGGCCUUCGGGUUGUAAACUGCUUUUGUACGGAGCGAAAAGGCUCUCUCUAAUACAGGGGGCUCAUGACGGUACCGUAAGAAUAAGCACCGGCUAACUACGUGCCAGCCGCCGCCGUAAGAC
rnacentral:rRNA from 1 species